UGCCUGACAGGGCUGCUCUGUAGAUCUGAAGGACUGGGCUUUCUGACCACACAGCCCCGCUGCCACCGAGGACAGUGUCUCUACAAGGUAAACUUGUUUCUUGUCCUUAGCUUGUUGGAAGGGUUUAGGUCCUGCUGCUGGGUGCUGUGGAGUUUGUCUUCUCAGCCCUGUGAGCCUUGCCUCCCUCUAAUAGAAACCAGCAGCCACCUGGGGUGGCUGGGUGUGUGGGGUUGUGUGGGAGGUAUGGGGGGGGGAUGUGUGAGGGGGUGUUCUCUGGCUUGGUUCUUGCCAAGUUCUCUGCAUUUAUCAGCGCCCCCCCCCCUCAAAAAAAAAACCAAAAAAAAAAAAAAACCCAAAAAACCUGAGUUACUCUUCCCGGUCUUUAAAGCCAGACCAUGUCUUGAUACCUGGCAGUUGCUGUUUCAGGAAGGCCAUUUACUCUGAUUUAGUCAACUUUAAAAUGUUUGCGGGAAAGUGCAUAUUGAUCAUUUAGACUGUGCUGCUAGUAACUCUAAUGGGGGUGGUUUAAUUUUAGCUUCUGUGGUUGUUUUUCCUUAAAAAAAAAAAAAAAA
rnacentral:lncRNA from 1 species